GCCCAGGUGGCGAAAUUGGCAGACGCGCUACCUUGAGGUGGUAGUCCUGGAAACAGGGUGGAGGUUCGAGUCCUCUCCUGGGCA
rnacentral:tRNA from 4 species